GCCCCGGUGGUGUAGCUCGGUUAAGCAUAAGGGACUCUCGAUCCCUUGACCCGGGUUCAAAUCCCGGCCGGGGCACCA
rnacentral:tRNA from 1 species